UACGUAGGGGGCGAGCGUUGUCCGGAUUUACUGGGCGUAAAACGCUUGUAGGCGGCCACGCCAAGUCGGAUGUGAAAUCUCCCGGCUUAACUGGGAGCGGUCAUUCGAUACUGGCGGGCUUGAGUACGGGAGAGGCGAGUGGAAUUCCUGGUGUAGCGGUGAAAUGCGCAGAUAUCAGGAGGAACACCGAUUGCGAAGGCAGCUCGCUGGAACGUUACUGACGACUGGAGAACGCGAAAGCGUGGGGAGCAAACAGG
rnacentral:rRNA from 1 species